AUUGAACGCUGGCGGCAGGCCUAACACAUGCAAGUCGAGCGAGCGGCGGACGGGUGAGCAAGGUAUGGGGAUCUGCCCGAUAGAGGGGGAUCACUACUGGAAACUGUGGCUAAUACCGCAUAGUAUAGGAUGAACCCAUAUUGGCUUAGCUAGUGGGGAGGGUAAAGGCACACCUAGGCGACGAUCUCUAGCUGGUCUGAGAGGAUGACCAGCCACACUGGAACUGAGACACGGACCAGACUCCUACGGGAGGCAGCAGUGGGGAAUAUUGGACAAUGGGCGCAAUCCUGAUGCAGCCAUGCCGCGUGUGUGAAGAAGGCCUUCGGUUUGUAAAGUACUUUCAGCGGGGAGGCGUUACCCACAGAAUAAGCACCGGCUAACUCCGUGCCAGCAGCCGCGGUAAUUC
rnacentral:rRNA from 1 species